ACCCGGCUGGCUCAGUCAGUAGAGUAUGUGACUCUUGAUUUCAAAGUUGUGAGUUCAAGCCCCACAUUGGGCA
rnacentral:tRNA from 1 species